rnacentral:rRNA from 1 species
AUUGAACGCUGGCGGCAUGCCUUACACAUGCAAGUCGAACGGCAGCGGGGACUUCGGUCCGCCGGCGAGUGGCGAACGGGUGAGUAAUGUAUCGGAACGUACCUUUCAGUGGGGGAUAACGUAGCGAAAGUUACGCUAAUACCGCAUAUUAAAAGAGCAGGAAAGCAGGGGAUCGCAAGACCUUGCGCUGAUUGAGCGGCCGAUAUCAGAUUAGCUAGUUGGUGGGGUAAAGGCCUACCAAGGCUACGAUCUGUAGCGGGUCUGAGAGGAUGAUCCGCCACACUGGGACUGAGACACGGCCCAGACUCCUACGGGAGGCAGCAGUGGGGAAUUUUGGACAAUGGGGGCAACCCUGAUCCAGCCAUGCCGCGUGAGUGAAGAAGGCCUUCGGGUUGUAAAGCUCUUUCGGCCGGGAAGAAAUCGCAUCAGCUAAUACCUGGUGUGGAUGACGGUUCCAGAGUAAGAAGCACCGGCUAACUACGUG